GCCGGUGGGUCCUACCCCAUUGUAGAAGCUCGUCUGGGAUCCGGCUAUGAAGAAGCUCGACUGAAGUCUACCUGUAAUAGAAGUUGGUAAGAAAUAUGUUUAUACUAGAGGGUCGAAUGAAAUUUGCUUACAGUAGAGAUCCGAGGUAGACCGCCCGCUGUAGGAAUUCGGAGUAGACCGCUCGUAGUAGAAGUUCGGCUCUCGUCGGAGCUCGGUUAGAAUCCUGAUGGCAGUCGACCGCAGUAGAAACUUGGACGGAGUCUAGUUACUGUAGAAAUCUCACUGUUGGAGAAGCUCGGAUAUCGAUGAAGUCCGGAAGAAGUUCGGAGAAUAGUUGAUCACUGUAGAAGGUUGGCUGAUAGUGAGGCCUAGAGAGCCUGUGGAGCGGCCCGGU
rnacentral:lncRNA from 1 species